AUGAACGCUAGCGACAGGCUUAACACAUGCAAGUCGAGGGGCAGCGGGGGUAGCGAUACCCGCCGGCGACCGGCGCACGGGUGAGUAACGCGUAUGCAACUUGCCUAUCAGAGGGGGAUAACCCGGCGAAAGUCGGACUAAUACCGCAUGAAGCAGGGGCCCCGCAUGGGGAUAUUUGCUAAAGAUUCAUCGCUGAUAGAUAGGCAUGCGUUCCAUUAGGCAGUUGGCGGGGUAACGGCCCACCAAACCGACGAUGGAUAGGGGUUCUGAGAGGAAGGUCCCCCACAUUGGUACUGAGACACGGACCAAACUCCUACGGGAGGCAGCAGUGAGGAAUAUUGGUCAAUGGGCGUAAGCCUGAACCAGCCAAGUCGCGUGAGGGAUGAAGGUUCUAUGGAUCGUAAACCUCUUUUAUAAGGGAAUAAAGUGCGGGACGUGUCCCGUUUUGUAUGUACCUUAUGAAUAAGGAUCGGCUAACUCCGUGCCAGCAGCCGCGGUAAUACGGAGGAUCCGAGCGUUAUCCGGAUUUAUUGGGUUUAAAGGGUGCGUAGGCGGCCUUUUAAGUCAGCGGUGAAAGUCUGUGGCUCAACCAUAGAAUUGCCGUUGAAACUGGGGGGCUUGAGUAUGUUUGAGGCAGGCGGAAUGCGUGGUGUAGCGGUGAAAUGCAUAGAUAUCACGCAGAACCCCGAUUGCGAAGGCAGCCUGCCAAGCCAUUACUGACGCUGAUGCACGAAAGCGUGGGGAUCAAACAGGAUUAGAUACCCUGGUAGUCCACGCAGUAAACGAUGAUCACUAGCUGUUUGCGAUACACUGUAAGCGGCACAGCGAAAGCGUUAAGUGAUCCACCUGGGGAGUACGCCGGCAACGGUGAAACUCAAAGGAAUUGACGGGGGCCCGCACAAGCGGAGGAACAUGUGGUUUAAUUCGAUGAUACGCGAGGAACCUUACCCGGGUUUGAACGCAUUCGGACCGAGGUGGAAACACCUUUUCUAGCAAUAGCCGUUUGCGAGGUGCUGCAUGGUUGUCGUCAGCUCGUGCCGUGAGGUGUCGGCUUAAGUGCCAUAACGAGCGCAACCCUUGCCACUAGUUACUAACAGGUAAAGCUGAGGACUCUGGUGGGACUGCCAGCGUAAGCUGCGAGGAAGGCGGGGAUGACGUCAAAUCAGCACGGCCCUUACAUCCGGGGCGACACACGUGUUACAAUGGCGUGGACAAAGGGAGGCCACCUGGCGACAGGGAGCGAAUCCCCAAACCACGUCUCAGUUCGGAUCGGAGUCUGCAACCCGACUCCGUGAAGCUGGAUUCGCUAGUAAUCGCGCAUCAGCCAUGGCGCGGUGAAUACGUUCCCGGGCCUUGUACACACCGCCCGUCAAGCCAUGGGAGCCGGGGGUACCUGAAGUCCGUAACCGAAAGGAUCGGCCUAGGGUAAAACUGGUGACUGGGGCU
rnacentral:rRNA from 1 species